AGCAGUUUCCUUGCUCUAGCAGCACUAUCAAAAGGUAUCCACAAGUUCCAUAAGCCUUCUUUCUUAGCCAUCUCCUUUAGUUUCUCUUCCUCUGGAUGAAUGGUCCAGCGUGAGGAAGACUGAGCAAGUUUAUAAAAUUCAUUUUCCAUCGGGUAUAUAUGAUCUUCCAUGAACUUAAUCAACCUGGUUCUCAACUCCAUGACCUUUUUACUGGGGACAAACUUUCCUCCAUCUUUGAGAAUGCCCCA
rnacentral:misc_RNA from 1 species